AAAAAGACUUUUAAAUGAAAGUCUAUAGAAAAAUGUAUUGAGAAUUGAUUGACAAAAAAAUUUAUGAUUAAAUAACAUGAUAUUGAAAGUGAAGAAUAAAAAAAUGUGAAUGAAUAUGAAAAUGAAGAUAGAGAUAAGAUGAAGAUAAAGAUAGAAAAAGAAAUGGAGAAAUAAUAUUUAUGAAUAUUCAGGAAAUCGUUAAUCCUAAUUAAAAUACCAACAAGAUGCAUUGAGAAAAACGUCAAAAAUUCAACGUAAGACGACAAGAAAUUAGACAGAGUUUUAAUUAUUAUCUCAUAAAGGCUAGAUAAAUCAGAAUAAUUAUAAAUCCAAUAGUGAGCAUAAAACGCAACGAUAGAAAGAUGCAUAGAAAUCGAGAGCAAGCUGAAAGCUAUGCGCCGAUCCAUCGCUAGAGGGGAAAGGAAAAAAAAAAAAGAAAGAUGAAUAGAUCGGGUAUUCGAUUUCGAUUGCGCUUUCACUGUUAUAUAUAUAAUGAAUAUAUGUGUACACGAACGUGAUAACAUCGACACCGUCGAACCAGGUCAAGUGCAUUCAAUAACUAUUAUACCUUCUGUGCCACUCCGUAUGCACCUCCGGAGUGCAUUCAAAGGAACUUACAAAUUACGUUGUUAGUAGUCCGCGACACGCGUCACUACUAACACUGGAUGACAGAGACCACGAUGGUCCGAUCUGCGUCAUUGAUCAAUGAUCCGAAUGAUGCGCCACUCAAAACAAUUAGACGCAACAAUUUAUCGCAAACAAUUGGAUUUUUGAUUAAUUAUUACAUCGGUAUUCGAGUAGUCAAGAUAUUUUACUUAUUUAAAAAUUAGCGAAAUUUAAUAAUUUUAAUAAUUUGACAUAAGAAUUAUUGUGUCUGGAUUAUAAAUAAAUAUUGGAAAUAAACGAAUCGAAUGUAAAAAUUUCAACAACGUGCACAAUAUAUCAUAAAUAUGAGACACGUGUUAAGUACAAGUGAAAAAAUAUUCGCUUAAAACAAUUCGUUUUGCAAAAAAUAUAUAAGAAAUAACAAAUUUCAUCGUAAAUAAAAAUUUGCUCAUUAACGUAUCUGUAUUUAUUAUGAUUAUGAAAUUUUUAUUUUUGACGUACUGAAGAGAAUGUAUCGUUCACCUCGAAUUUCUUUGUGCUCUAUUUUAUUAAAUUUCCGGAAAUACGAUCAUUCGAGGCCACUACUCUCCGAGUUAAAAAAUGGUAGACACAAAUUGAACAAUUCAACCGUAAACCAUUUCUUCUAAUCAAUGACAACAUGAUAGCUAAACUAUAAAAAAGAUAGAAAAUGUUGGAUACCCUUAUCCAUUAAAUGGGGUUGCAAUAUUCCUUCGAUGUCUUCAAGUAGAUCACCAUAAGAUGGAUCAUUCAAUGGCCGAUGGAUCCUUUAUUAUCAGAUUUAUGGUAUAGAAAAAUAUUUAUCACUAGUCAUAAUUUAGUUUAUAUUUACGUUAUUAUAUUAAUUUAAUUAGUUUAAUCUAUAGUACUAUAAAUUUUGACUCAUCGAAGCUCAGAAAAAUAUAAAAAAUAUAAAAUAAAUAAUUCGGCUACAUAAGUAUUAAAAGGUUAUAUCAAACUUCGAAACGUAUGGAGUAUGUUUUCCUUUUUCUCCAUUUCCUAUCAGAUUUCCGGAAAAACACGAUUACUCGAGGCCAUGACUCGUUGUUUUAAAAAUGGUAAACAGGAAUUGAUUUUUAAAAAUACGUAAAUUUACUUCUUAAUUUUAAAAAUUUAUUCAAAGGAAAACGAUACUCGAUUUCAACUCAAUAAUUAAAUCGUUUUCUUUCUUAAGCAUCAAAAGUGAUCUCAAACUCCAGAGUUAGAAAACAUCAACAAUCAUUCCUCUUCGUUUUAGCAGAUUUCUGGAAACACGAUCGCUCGAGGCCACGAUUACUCUCUGCCUUAAAAGUGACGGAGAAGAAUUGAAGAAUUUAAAAUUCACCGAAUGUCGUGUCGGGGGCGAUCUCGUUGAAAAGCAACACUUUAUUAAAAAUUCUCUACCUAUUAGCUCUAGCCACGACUCUGCCAAGUCUCUCGAGAGCAUUGAAAGGAACUCACAAAUUACAUUAUUAGUACCCUCGAACACGCGUCACUGUUCGCAUCGGCGUGGACAAGCAUGGACAAUUUAAUAUGGACACCCCACAACAACCUGGUAACUCAACGCGUGUACAGAAAAUAUCAAAGAGGAAGUAGUAAUAUCACCAACCAAUAAAUAGACUAUACCUAUUCAUACAACCUCGAGUACACGCAUACGCGCGCGCGCACACAUACACGCAAUAUUCUUCAUUCACCUAACUACACCAACAACAAUUACCCCAACAGCAAAAUGAACAACUUACGUUCGUCCACCAUUCAAUACCAGGAAGAAGAGGCAUCAAGCAAUUCGUCGUCUACGAAUUCUCGGCUAGCCACGAGGACGUCCUACUUUCCAAUUAAAAAAAAGAAAAAACUCUUGAAUUUCCUGCACGAAGUUCAAUUUCUCACACUUACGUACGCGAUAUUUUUUUAAAAAUUUAUAUCAGAUUUUUAGAUUUAUAAGAAAUUUUCAACAAAUUUUGUCAAAUCGAUUUACAAAAUCGAAGAUAUACCGCGAUUUGGUAUUAGAUGGGUAUUUUUUUAUUGUGCAUGAUCAACUUCGAUAACGAGUUGAAACGAUCGAAAUUGCGGUUUCUUAGACCCGAAGUGACGAAGAAGUGACGAUUGCAGAUGGGUCCGUUCUGCGCGCCGUCGAGCGCACUACUGCUGGGACCGAUCGCCGGUGGCAACGUACCGGCUCCAACAUAAGCGUAUUCUAAACGUCAAUCGGAUCUAAGACCGUGACCGCGAUGCACCGUGUUGAUUUUACUUGUUCAUUGAUUGUCUGUGUGUGUGAUAAGAGACUGUUGCUCGAAGCAGAAGUAGCAGAUUUCUGCAACUUUUCAUCACGAUUGGUGUCGCAAAUCCUUGACAUACAUCAUUAUGCCGUUAUUAAGGCAGGAUGCACAUAGUGGAUUCGAAAUUAAUAUAUAUAUAUAUAUAUAUAUAUAUAU